UUUAUAAAAUUUUGGGAUUUUCUUAAAAUCAACUGUUAUUCAACUUAUGAUUUUUAAAUAUCUUUCCAAAUCCCAUGUUAUUGAACUUGAGAUUUAUGUAAAGUCAUUCAAAAUAACUCACAAUCACUUGUUAUUCAAUCAAAGAUUUAAAAACUUCAUAUCAAAUCAACUGUUAUUGAAACUUACCAAAAAAAAAUGAAAGAGAUAUUCAACAUUGAUUUUGGGAGACUUUUGGAUAAGUUUUUACUUGAAAAAUAGGCAUGAACAAAUCACACCUUUAUAGGUGUUAUUUGGAAGGAUUUUAUAAAUAAAAAAUAUCACAAGAAAUAUUCUAAUCACCAUCUCGUCUUCUGUUCUUCAAGGAGAUGAAGAAGAGAGGGACGAAGAGAAUUAUAAACUGUCAACAAAGAAGAAGAGGAGAGGAUGAUCUAAGGAGGAGAAAUCGAUUCCCUCUUACGACACGAUCGAAACAGAAUUCUCGAUUGGGCUAAGAUUUUAAUGGGAAUCGAAGAUUUUAGGUCUGAAAACUGCGUCGGCAUCGGGUGGUAACGAAGUAUCUGAGGGAAGGAAAGUAUUGCAGAUUAUACUUGAGUAUGAAAAGAUGAAAUGUAUUAAAGUUGUACUGGAUGAAGAAAGUGUGUUCAAAAGGCUGGAUGAAGAAAUAAGUAUUGUUCAUAAGAGUGCUGCUUUUGGUGAUGUGAAGGGUCUGAAAACUGCGUUGCUACUGCUAAUAAAGAUGAAGAAGACUCCGAGGGAAGGACAGCUCAGCAUUUGGCAUGCAUGCUCGUAUGGCAAGGUAUGUUAAUCUCUUUAACCAUAUCUUAGAAGGAGUUGACAAUUACCAUCAAUCUAUCGGCCUUUACUUGUCGUGUUUAACCACGGGUUUGGACUCCACUUACACUUUCUUUUUUUUUUUUU